rnacentral:rRNA from 1 species
AUGCUUGCCCCCUUUAUUGUAAUCCAGAAUUACCUGGUGAAAAUCAACCACAUUACUUCUGUUCCAGCCUACCAUACCCAAACCGUAACAGAGGCAGGUUUCCUUAAACAUGUCCCUAGCAGUCGGUUUCAUGGGCAGAAUGUCAGGGUGCUUGACAAGGAGGUACAUCAUGUAAUGAGACAGUGUGUUAACUUCUUCAGCCAUGUCCUUGUCGACCAGCUUCCGUUUGACGGCAGGGUGAUUGAGGAAGGUGCUUGUUGCUAUAUGCCAGAUAAGCACACUCUUGUGAAAUCCAUAACUCAGGCUCCAAUCAAGCUGUUUGAUCUGGGCGACGCCGCUGAACCUGCGAGCCCAGUUCCCACUCCGCAUGUCCACCUCUUCAAUUUCAAUUUCAAACAUAUGAGUCUUGUCACCUUUGAGCAAGCCCCAUACGAACUCCUUGACCUUGAGGGUAGGCGAAAGCUUGGCAUGUUUGGUGCAGCGAGCUUUGUCCCAAAAGUCCUUGACUCAAUCAAACGGGCUAUUGUUCCCUUGAGGCCCCUCUUGCUGCUGUGA